rnacentral:rRNA from 1 species
CCCAGACAGCCAGGAUGUUGGCUUAGAAGCAGCCAUCAUUUAAAGAAAGCGUAAUAGCUCACUGGUCGAGUCGGCCUGCGCGGAAGAUGUAACGGGGCUAAACCAUGCACCGAAGCUGCGGCAGCGACGCUGUGCGUUGUUGGGUAGGGGAGCGUUCUGUAAGCCUGUGAAGGUGGCCUGUGAGGGUUGCUGGAGGUAUCAGAAGUGCGAAUGCUGACAUAAGUAACGAUAAAGCGGGUGAAAAGCCCGCUCGCCGGAAGACCAAGGGUUCCUGUCCAACGUUAAUCGGGGCAGGGUGAGUCGACCCCUAAGGCGAGGCCGAAAGGCGUAGUCGAUGGGAAACGGGUUAAUAUUCCCGUACUUGGUGUUACUGCGAAGGGGGGACGGAGAAGGCUAUGUUGGCCGGGCGACGGUUGUCCCGGUUUAAGCGUGUAGGUGUGUGUUCCAGGUAAAUCCGGUUCACUUUAACACUGAGGCGUGACGACGAGGCACUACGGUGCUGAAGCAACAAAUGCCCUGCUUCCAGGAAAAGCCUCUAAGCAUCAGGUAACAUCAAAUCGUACCCCAAACCGACACAGGUGGUCAGGUAGAGAAUACCAAGGCGCUUGA